rnacentral:misc_RNA from 1 species
GAUGAAGAACGCAGCGAAAUGCGACAAGUAAUGUGAAUUGCAGAAUUCAGUGAAUCAUCGAGUCUUUGAACGCACAUUGCGCCCCCUGGUAUUCCGGGGGGCAUGCCUGUCCGAGCGUCAUUGCUGCCCUCAAGCACGGCUUGUGUGUUGGGCCCCCGUCCCCGGUUUCCCCCGGGGACGGGCCCGAAAGGCAGCGGCGGCACCGCGUCCGGUCCUCGAGCGUAUGGGGCUUUGUCACCCGCUCUGUAGGCCCGGCCGGCGCCAGCCGACACCCAACUUUAUUUCUAAGGUUGACCUCGGAUCAGGUAGGGAUACCCGCUGAACUUAAGCAUAUCAAUAAGCGGAGGA